UAGGGUGAACCUGCGGAAGGAUCAUUA
rnacentral:rRNA from 2 species